rnacentral:rRNA from 1 species
AGUGAACGCUGGCGGUAGGCCUAACACAUGCAAGUCGAACGGCAGCACAGUAAGAGCUUGCUCUUACGGGUGGCGAGUGGCGGACGGGUGAGGAAUACAUCGGAAUCUACUUUUUCGUGGGGGAUAACGGAGGGAAACUUACGCUAAUACCGCAUACGACCUACGGGUGAAAGCAGGGGAUCUUCGGACCUUGCGCGAUUGAAUGAGCCGAUGUCGGAUUAGCUAGUUGGCGGGGUAAAGGCCCACCAAGGCGACGAUCCGUAGCUGGUCUGAGAGGAGGAUCAGCCACACUGGAACUGAGACACGGUCCAGACUCCUACGGGAGGCAGCAGUGGGGAAUAUUGGACAAUGGGCGCAAGCCUGAUCCAGCCAUACCGCGUGGGUGAAGAAGGCCUUCGGGUUGUAAAGCCCUUUUGUUGGGAAAGAAAAGCAGCAGGUUAAUACCCCGCUGUUCUGACGGUACCCAAAGAAUAAGCACCGGCUAACUUCGUG